rnacentral:rRNA from 1 species
UCCGUAGGCGGAUAAUUAAGUCAGAGGUGAAAUCCCACAGCUCAACUGUGGAACUGCCUUUGAUACUGGUUAUCUUGAGUUUUAGUGAAGUAGAUAGAAUAUGUAGUGUAGCGGUGAAAUGCUUAGAUAUUACAUAGAAUACCGAUUGCGAAGGCAGUCUACUAACUAACAACUGACGCUAAUGGACGAAAGCGUGGGGAGCGAACAGGAUUAGAUACCCUGGUAGUCC